AUUCAAUCAAAACGAGAACCAGGAAGGAUAAUGGCCGCUGAGCUGCAGACAAUGAUUCAGAGAGUGUCUUUGUACUUGGUCGGCGUGGCUUUGCAGUACCUUGUGCCAGUUAUUGUUUUUAUGUCGUUGGCACUUCUUGCUCAUUGUUUGGAAGCUACAGUUUCUCUCAAGGUCGUCAUCUUCUAUUAUUACACAACAGCACUGCAUCAGUCAGUCGUUACAAGUGGGGUGUGAAUGCUGAAGACGAGGCAGUUCAACAGCUUGGCUUUGUCAUCUCACAAUUAGCUGAAGUUAUUGACACUCCCGUCUUUUGGGAAAAACAUGUGAUGUUUGGCUGCUGGUGGAUGGCCACCGUAUGGUUUGGAUUAUCUUCGUUGGGAAUUAUGUAUUAGAGAUGUGCAGCCGUGUAGUGAAGGGGAGAGGUGGAAAUAGUGUAUUGAAAGUGUGAAAUAGAAAUUUAAUUAGAGCUGAUUCUAUGAGUUAUGUGAUGUGGU